CGCGUAGGCGGUAAUGUAAGUCGGACGUGAAAUCCUUCGGCUCAACUGAAGAACUGCGUCUGAAACUGCAUGACUAGAGUGCAGAAGAGGGAAACGGAAUUCCAGGUGUAGAGGUGAAAUUCGUAGAUAUCUGGAGGAACACCGGUGGCGAAGGCGGUUUCCUGGUCUGACACUGACGCUGAGGCGCGAAAGCGUGGGGAGCAAACAGGAUUAGAUACCCUGGUAGUCCACGCCGUAAACGGUGGGUACUGGGUGUGGGAGGUGUAAUGCCUUCUGUGCCGAAGCUAACGCGUUAAGUACCCCGCCUGGGGAGUACGGCCGCAAGGUUGAA
rnacentral:rRNA from 1 species